UACGUAGGGUCCGAGCGUUAAUCGGAAUUACUGGGCGUAAAGCGUGCGCAGGCGGUUUUGUAAGCCAGAUGUGAAAUCCCCGGGCUCAACCUGGGAAUGGCAUUUGGGACUGCAAGGCUCGAGUGCGGCAGAGGAGACUGGAAUUCCUGGUGUAGCAGUGAAAUGCGUAGAUAUCAGGAGGAACACCGAUGGCGAAGGCAGGUCUCUGGGCUGACACUGACGCUCAUGCACGAAAGCGUGGGGAGCAAACAGG
rnacentral:rRNA from 1 species